rnacentral:misc_RNA from 1 species
GAAAUGCGAUAAGUAAUGUGAAUUGCAGAAUUCAGUGAAUCAUCGAAUCUUUGAACGCAGCUUGCGCUCCUUGGUAUUCCUUGGAGCAUGCCUGUUUGAGUAUCAUGAAAUCUUCAAAGUAAAUCUUUUGUUAACUCAAUUGGUUUCUACUUUGGUAUUGGAGGUCUUUGCAGCUUCACACCUGCUCCUCUUUGUUCAUUAGCUGGAUCUCAGUGUUAUGCUUGGUUCCACUCGGCGUGAUAAGUUAUCUAUCGCUGAGGACACUGUAAAAGGUGGCCAAGGUAAAUGCAGAUGAACCGCUUCUAAUAGUCCAUUGACUUGGACAAUACUUUUAUGAUCUGAUCUCAAAUCAGGUUGGACUACCCGCUGAACUUAAGC